GUAUGUGUGUGUGCUGCUUAACAUCUCCCUGCAGAGGAAGAUAAAGUACAUUCUGUUGCUUUCUUGGUCCGAGGAAAGCGCAGCUUAUCUCUGCAGUAAAACCUGGCAAGCGUAACCCCCUUCACCACUGUUCUCACACCAUGUUCAGACACCUAAUUCAGGGAAUACGUCUUUGCGAAGAGAAGGAAUGUGACCUUCAUGUUCCACAUUGUCUCAAAUAAACCAUUAGCAGUAA